AAAAAAAAAACUUUUAGCAUACCUUCAAAAAUUAAAAUUAAAAAAAAAAUAUAUAUAUAUAUUUUUGCAUACACAUGCAUUUGCAUACAUACACAUAUAUUUGCAUAUCUUUUCUGCUUCCUCCCUUAUCCAACUAUCAUCCAGCUAGCAGACUUCCUGAUACUCAUGAACAAACUUGAAGGACGUCUCAAUAAGGGAAAAUACCAUUGAAGAGAAAAUGCAACCCUUCGCCAUGCAAG
rnacentral:lncRNA from 1 species